CUGGGUUUCCUGCUAAGGCCCAAAUACCAUCUACCAACUUUUGAUAUGGUUCACUGGAAGUCCAUCGAUAGAGGGCAACUAAUGAAGGUCAGAGAAUGAAUUAAAUAAAAUCCGAAUGCAUCCAUAAAUAAUUCUGACUUGACAUAUAUUCUGUUUUGUUACAGCUCAUUUCCUUAUAAGUGUGGUUUUUAAAAAAAACAUUUUAAAUGGUAAAAGAACCCCAGGGGAUGUCAUCUUGGAAAGAACGUGAUGAAAUGAUGUCAGGUGGCCUCACAGGAAGUGUGUCCUAGAUGAAUACCACGUGGAUAGAUCUACACAGAAGUUAGCACCUACCCGGACACCAGCAAGACCAGCAUGACCUCUUUCUCCAGAUUCCUAGUCCUUGAAUUCUGUUGUCUAAGGUAUGAUCCAUCGCCCUGCAGCUCCACAUACAACAAGGUGCACCUGUGUCUGCAGAAGCAUGACUCAGGAGAUGGAUUUCAGCAGGUGUACAGUGAGUGAUACACUGGACUCCGACUUUUAAUAUGGGAAAAUAAUGUGCUCACCCUAAUGCCCUUGAAGCCAGGAAGUCCAGGAGUCCCAGGGAAACCACGAGCACCCUUAA